GACGAACCGUGCGAACGUUGUUCGGAAUCACUGGGCUUAAAGGGCGCGUAGGCGGGCCGCCGCGUCCGGGGUGAAAUCCUCCCGCUCAACGGGAGAACGGCCUCGGAUACGGGCGGCCUGGAGGCGGGUAGGGGCACGCGGAACUGUGGGUGGAGCGGUGAAAUGCGUUGAGAUCCACAGGAACUCCGGUGGCGAAGGCGGCGUGCUGGACCGGUCCUGACGCUGAGGCGCGAAAGCCAGGGGAGCGAACGGG
rnacentral:rRNA from 1 species